UGUUUUUUCUCACAGAAAAUGAGGACAACACUUCAGCGAAAACACUGGCAAAUCGGCCAUGACAAAGGCCUUCAGCAAACCGAAGGGCCACAGCAGGGGUGGCGUCCCAGUCCCAUCACCAAGAGCACGGCUGAUCCAAAGCCUAACGUCCCAGAGUGCAGAGUUUGUGAUGGAGGAGCAGAUGCAGCUAAGCACUGGACUGUAGACCCAAGAGAGACACUUUUCAGUGACACACUCAUCAUCACUAAAUCAAAGUCUUCCUCAAGCCUCAAACGGAAGGAGAGUGUGAGGCUGUGUGAGAUGUGGUUGGGUUCUUGAAUUGAAGAGGAUGAUGAGAGAAAACUCACCUCAAAGAACUCCUUUGUCAUUGGUUGGCGUACCACCAAUUACGUGGUGACUCUCAGGUAGGCUACUUCCAAUCAUUAAAUUCAAUUUUUCAAUUGCCAGAAAAAUUGAUUAAAAUUAACUUGGGGGGGAAAGAUGACAUUUGUUUUCCCAAUCAGUUCAUCUGAGGCAAAGGAGAAAUGGCUUUCAUCUUUACAAUGGCACAUCACCAAAUCCAAGAAAGUGGAAUAUCCCAGCAAUCUAACCAUGAAGGUUGUUCUCAUAAAUAUUGGAACUAGUGCAAUGACAACUGUGAAUGUGGACAAUAAAGACGAAGUUGACAAAGUACACAGGAUCUUCACCCAACAGUUAAGACUCACUGGCAGACCCACUGACUACCGGCUCUGGGUUGUCUCAGGGAGAGAGGAAGCCCCAUGCCCUCUUAUUGGUCAUGAGCAUCCCUUCAGUAUUAUCCUAAACUCCUUGAGGGAAACAGACUGCCAAGUCUCAGCAGUCACCAACAACAUAGAUGGGAGCCUCUACCUUGAUCACCUUCUCAAAGAUGCUUCUGGCCCAAACUUCAUCCUCAGGCUAAAGGCUGAUGUGGGAGGACUUGGCCGAGCAGGUUGCAGCUCUCGUUCAACAUCUCAUUGAAAACACCCCAGCGAUUUUUUGGUGAAGAUGUUGAGUGCAUUUUUACUGAGCCAAAGAAGGAACAAGGAACUGCAGAGGAUGUCAUGGUGGAGUCUUACCAGCAGGUCGACUCGUCUGAUUAUUGGGACUGAGAGAAGCAAGAAGGACAUCACUCUCCUAACAGGGAACCUUUUUCCUGCCAUUGGAGAAACUGGUCUUGAAAGAGAUUUUGGGGCUUCUGAAUGAGGUUGACUCCUUGAAAAAGCAACAUGUGACUGAGGACAGUGCUUAUAGCUGUGGGAAUCUAGACUUAAUGUCUUCCCUCUCCAGUAGGUCUAUCUGCUCCCUGAUGGGGACACAAAGUUUUUGCUCAGCCCGCUGCUCCUCAGAGCCCAUUGUGUGUCUAAGCUCCCCCCGGUUGGGGUCCCACAGCCAGCUCUACACUCUUGUCGCCCGCCAGUCCAGCUGCGAUGCAGCAGUGAUGUGUGGCCAUGCAGACCACUCCCAACACACACACACACAAAUCCCACACCAAGGGGCUACUAAAGUGGGACAGCAACCCCAGGGUAGAUGCCAGCAAGUCUAGGUAUGCCUUCUGGAGAUCCCCUCAUGUAGCCUCGAGGUUCUGGCACCUUGUCCAGAGGCUGGCCGUGUCCAACAGGUCCAGUUUCUCCAGCCUGUCCUCCACAGGCACCUCUCCAUCUACCUCCUCUCUGAGCUCCAAAGACAGUGCCUUCUCCUUCUGCACCGACUCUGUGUCCUCUCCCAACGAGCCCAACUCCCUCCCCUUCCUGUUCGGCAUGUCGGCACGGUUACGCCCUCUCACUCCAGACACCACAAAGACAUUUCCAAAAGAUUGGACCAUGACAUUCCCAGUGGCAGUUGCUCAGGCACCCAAGGAUUUGGAUGGGUAUAAUUGGUCUGAUGAGAGAAAAGGAGACUAGAAGCAUUGCCAUUCUAUUAGCAUUCAGAAUAGAGAAGACCACCAGAUGCUCACCCAAAGCCUCUGUAGUUUAAAAGGUGAGUAUAUUCAAAGCCCUGUCUCUCAACCAGACAGUGAAAGGAUUCACUCUGAUUGGAGAGGGGAACAGGUGCACCAGAGCCAGAAUGAUAAAGUGUGCAAGUUGUCAGAGUCAAAAGGACAGACCAAAGAAACAUCCAUUGCACACAUACAGCUGAGAAAUAAAAAAACUGUUUGUCAAGAAGGAAGAGGUGAAGGGGACGAAAAUUGCAUUUUACACCUCCUCUAACAGAAUGCUGGUGAAAAAACAGUCUGAUCAAUCUGUGGAACUGUGUGGAGUCUCUCUGGUAUCUGACACAGGGAGAGAACAUCAGGAAAUUGGGGAACUGCUGGCCCAAAGUGUGCAGCUCCACAUACCCCAGACAGUGUCCUAUGGUCAAAACACUCCACUGGUCCUGCAGUCUGUGUCAACCAGACAAUUUGCAAAUAACAAAAAGGAUGAAAGGCCAAAACAGAUAUUCACCUUGGUGAAGUGGUCCCUGAACAGUUGGGUGGUGGGUGCACUCCUCUCUCCCACACAUCAUCUAAAACUCAUGCCAAAACUGCAAGCACAAUCAGCCACAAUAAUGCAAGCACAAUCAGCCACAAGAAUGCAAGCACAAUCAGCCACAAUACUGCAAGCACAAUCAGCCAAAACUGCAAGCACAAUCAGCCACAAGACUGCAAGCACAAUCAGCCACAAGACCGAAUGUGCAAUCAGCCACACUAUUAGAAUAAAACUGCAAGCAACUGUCAGAAAUUCUGUGAGAGAAUACUUCAACUCAAGUGACAGCAAGAAUGGCCACUUAGAUGCAAAAUGGAACAAAAAAGAGCUCCUCCAGUGGCAAAAUAAAAUGUUGGAACCAACAGAAAAUGCCACAAAGCGAUCACAUGGUGAGGAGUUGUCUGAUUGUUAAUGCUCAUCAUUUGAUGUUUUGUAAUGGGCUGUCAGAAUGUAGAUCAUCCUGGGUUAUUUCACCCCCCUCUUUGUGUGUAUUUUUUGUGAAAUUAUAAAUUAAGUCAAUGAAGGAUCCCACUGGGCAUAGACAUCAGUUCAAAGUCUAAUUUUGAUUAACUUUAAGUUGAGUUGUCAUCUAAGGUGAAUUCAACAUGAAAUCAAGAAAACAUUUCACCAUGUCAUUGGAUUUAGGUUAAAAAAAAUAGGGUGAAAAAAAUACGAAAUGAUCUUAUAUUGAUGACUUUUUGCAAAUCCAAUCGGUUUUUACACAUGGAUUCAACAUCAUCACAUUUCAUUUUUUGGUUGAAAUGAUGUGGAAACAACAUUGAUUCAACCAGUUGUUGCCCAGUUGGAUGGUGCAGAUUGAAUGCAGGCACUCAAACCACUUAGACAGAGCACUUCCUCCAAAUGAGUGGGGAUUCAUAACCUUAAUAAUUUUCUAUACAGAAGCAUUAUGAAUAAGGACCAGACAUCUUGACAUCACUGUGAUGUAUGUGUUUCCUAAUGGGGCUGUGAUAAUCUGUCGCUGAAAAAGUAAAAACAACCAAAUUUGAGGCAAAUUAGGUAUAAGAUGCACAACUUGUAUAUGGGCAAACAUACACAUUUAUUUAAGUUUUUAUGGCCUGGAUUCUGUUUUGCAAACAAAACAAAUAUACAGAAUAAUUGUAACAAUAUAAAUACCUGAGAUGGAAUAUUAUCCAAACUGAGUUCCAAAUAAUGUAAAGUGAUUGUAUGGUGUGCAACACAUAUUCCUGCUGUAUAGUUAACAUCUGGUUAAUAAGUAAUCACCUACUUCUCACUUUUAUCGCUAAAGAAAAAUGACCAACGUAAAUCACAUUGCAUAUAGUGAGUUUAAAUGUUUGUUUUGUUUUUGCACAGUUCAGUGCUAUUUUGCAUUUGCAAAAUGAAGCCUCAUGUAUAGAUCUCAUUUAGACGCAUUGAUAUAACGGUCUUAAACACAUAGUAACAUAUACUGUACCACUUUUACCACAUCAUUGUCUGUUUUUAUGUAUGUUUUAUCCUAGAACUGUAACUUUGAACAAUAAUCAUAUGUAGCGUUAACCUUCAUAUC